UACGGAGGGGGCUAGCGUUGUUCGGAAUCACUGGGCGUAAAGCGCACGUAGGCGGCUUUGUAAGUUAGAGGUGAAAGCCUGGUGCUCAACACCAGAACUGCCUUUAAGACUGCAUCGCUUGAACGUCGGAGAGGUGAGUGGAAUUCCGAGUGUAGAGGUGAAAUUCGUAGAUAUUCGGAAGAACACCAGUGGCGAAGGCGGCUCACUGGACGACUGUUGACGCUGAGGUGCGAAAGCGUGGGGAGCAAACAGG
rnacentral:rRNA from 1 species